GAUGAAGAACGCAGCGAAAUGCGAUAAGUAAUGUGAAUUGCAGAAUUCAGUGAAUCAUCGAAUCUUUGAACGCACAUUGCGCCCGCCAGCAUUCUGGCGGGCAUGCCUGUCCGAGCGUCAUUUCAACCCUCAGGGUCCCUCCGCCUCGCGCGGUCGGAGCCUGGUGUUGGGGAUCGGCCCGCCCCGCGCGGCGCCGUCCCCCAAAUACAGUGGCGGUCCCGCCGCAGCCUCCCCUGCGCAGUAGUUAUCAACUCGCACUGGAGCGCGGCGCGGCCACGCCGUAAAACCCCCGACCUUUAGAAAGUUGACCUCGGAUCAGGUAGGAAUACCCGCUGAACUUAAGCAUAUCAAUAAGCGGAGGA
rnacentral:misc_RNA from 1 species